CCAAGUGUUAAAAGUUGUUUUAAAGAAGGUCUGAAAGGUUUGUGAAAAAGGUGCUUCAAAUCACACUGACCUUUUUUUCCAUGGAAGUUCAGAGUGUUCAAAACACUCAGUUCUUGAGGUAAAUUACUCUCCUGUAGUGUUUUGUUCAGUCUCGCAGAUUCGUAGUUCUGAUGUGGUGAGAAUUCCCAGUGCUGACUGGAAAUGGUGUCUUUUGUCCUGUUAAAAUUAGUAACUCGGUGCUAGGAACAUGGAUCACUGUGGGGUUUUGUUUUGCUUCACUGUCAAUAAAAGGUGUUCUACAGAUGCUGUUGGGAGUGCUCACAGGCAAUUCUUGCGUUUGUCCUAGGAAUGCUGGCACAACAUGUUCUUGGAAAACAGUCCGACCCUUUGUAAGCCUGGUGAGAAAAUCCAAUCUGUUCUUCCGAAACGAGCUCUGUCACAGUCUCUGCCAGUUCUGCUGCAGCUCCUCCUGGCAGUAAUUAGAUCAUUUGUCUCAUCUGGAGAGCUCAGCCUGCUGCACUUCACACAGUAGUGCUGAGUCCCAGAGCUCGUGUUUGAACAGAGCUGACCAAGUGUAAACCCGGAAGGGAUGUCAGGAUCCUUGUUCUGGGCUUCCUCCUUAGCCUUAAACGUUUCUAUUCCUUCAUGAACUUUCAGCCUUUACAAAUCUGCAGGGCACAACCAGGAGGGAGUGAAAGGCUGUGAGAAACCGUACACUUCAGGAAAUAUAAUUCCAGCUGAAAUUUGGAUAGCUGGGAGAGAGAGAAAGGAGUAGUGGCCUUCCUAAGAUCAACCAGCGGCUUGACAGCUCAGGAAUUCAGUUACAAAUGCUGCAGCAAGAAAGUGGGGAACUGCGAAGUUCAAGCGCCUUAAUGAAAUUUCAGAAUCAUGCAGCUGCCUAACACCUCUCCGGCCCUCUUGGAGGCAGACACACUCCUUCUGGAGCCAGCUACACAGAAGGUCUAAUCAAAUGGCUUAAUGGAUUCCCAUGGAGAGAAGGAAGUAGAUUACUGUAGACCACUGGACAGACAUGGCCUUACAGCACUUUCAGCAAUGUGGUAAGUGCUGAACACCAGCAUUUGCAUGAAGUCAGGUCUCAGGCUGUAAGCAUCAGCUCCAGUGUGGAACAUGGGAACCCCCUUGUCACAGAACAGAUCCCGUUGGAAGGGACCAGCACCCCCAGGUCCUGCUCUGCAGAGCUGCUCUGCAGCAGGCCAUCCCCAGCCUGUGCUGGUGCUGGGGUUGUUCCUCCACAGCUGCCAUUGUAGAAUUCCAGACUGUUCCUCUCUGCCCAUCACUGACCUGUUGAGAUCCAUCUAAAGGGCUGCCCAACAUCUAGGGGGUAUUGGCUUCUCCUCCCACUUCUGUCCAAAAGCUCUGUCUUGUGGGUUUGUGCAUAACAACCACCACUCCCAUUGCCAGCUGACAAUAAAAAAGAGGCUUUCAGAGAGACAAGGAAGAAUAAUUCUCACAUAUUACUUUUAAAAGGAACUGCUUCUCAACAACAAAAGAUUUUUACAUUACAUUGUCAGGAGAGAGGUUCUGCCUUUUUAGCAAAGGCUUUUUUAUUGCUCAAACAUGAAGAAGCAUUUAAUUACAGGACAUUACUAAAAUAACAUGUUAAGGAUGAAAUCCAGUUCUAUUCAUCCAAAAUCAAAAGAGGCCAUGUCAGGCUAAUAAGCUACUUCUUCCUAAUUGGGAACUUUUAUCUGGUGUUUUAAAAAAUUUAAGCUGAAAUUUGACUCUACAAAUGUAUACAUUCAAGCAUAAUCAUUCACUAUAAAACUGUUAAUUUGUUUGGAAACACAGUUAAUUCUGAUCUUAAAUUUACAUUUAAUGGGAAAAAAAAUCAAUGAAGUAAUUAAUUAUAGGGACACAUGUUUAUAUAGGACCUAUCCAGAUAGCUAACAGAUUUCUGCAGAGAGACACAGGAUCCUUUAAAUGAACAAUACAAUUAUGCAAAUUAAGUUAAUUUCCUGGUAUUUUCUGUGCAUUUCUUGGGUUGUUUUUUGUUUGUUUGGGGGAAGAGUGUCAUUUUGGGAAGUUUUUGUUUGGUUGUUUCAUUUAACUCUUGAUGCAAUCCCAAGAGCUGCAUGCUCUCUGAAGGGGGAUGUCAGAUCAAACCAAUGGUUUUUUUGACCCCUUAAGCAUCAAUGAUCAGCCAAUAGUCAAGGCAAGCUAAAUUAACUCUCUAAGUUAGCAGCUUUCUCCACCUCUGAAAAAGGUUUUGGACAUUUCUAAGUGUCUGAGGUCUGGUGAAGAGGGCAUAAAGAACCUACCUAGUCCAGAAAUCAAACAGGCUGCUCAAAACUCCACCAAAGCAGAAAAACAAUGGCAAGCUCUUAAUACUUAACCUUGUGUCACAGAAAAAGUGCUUCUUUAAUGGCUUUCCUUCUCCUGGAGUAAAAUUUACCAACAAAUUUUAGAAAGGCGAAUGGCUUCUGCUUUAGAGUUUUGUUUUUUUAACAGCUGAAAAGAAACCUAAGCAGUAACCUAUUGCGUGGUACAGAGAAACCUCUGCUAGAAGUAAUUUCUUUAUACUCAAGGCUACAAUGUUAUCCUUCGUUGCACGGAAACUGUCUGUUAUUAAACCUGAAAAACUUUCAUGCAGAAAACAAAGAAAGGCUGGGGGAGGAACACUAAUGUUUAAUUUUGGCUAUGGCUUUUGGCUUUCCUCUGAGAUGAAAACCAAAAUGUAUUUGGAGUCUUCUUCUUCUAUUGAAGCUGACAAAACACUUUGCAGACCUUGGCUUUUGGCAAAGGCAGCUGAGGGGAACAAUUUAGGUGUAGCGAGGAAAGUUAUCAAAAUAUGACAAUAGCUUGAAUAGUUUUAAAUGGUCAAGUUUAGUAAACAAUUUUAGCCUCUUUGACCAAGGCUAAAAUGAAUAAAUAACUGACUUCUUCUGUAAACAGUCCUACAUAAAGUAAUGCUAAAUUACAGCAAUGUUUCUGUAACAAGAUGGUUUAGGAGGGACAAAAAUCUGUAAGAGUUGGCAGCUACUGUACACAGCUUCCAAUUUUUCAGGAAAGCCAGCCAAGUUUUCCUCCCCUCAAUGCAGGGGAUUAAAGCAAUCAUGCUAGAAUACGAAUAGAAAUUAUCUUAGGGUUUCUAUGCUAAGCAGAAGCAAAACUAAGUAUUUGUUUCUGGUGGGAAAUGUCAAAUAUGGAAGUUUAAACUUUUUUUUUUCCUAAUUACUGAGCAGAUUCACAGUGAAUUUUAAAAAGGAUGCAUUGCAUUGUGCUAAAUAUAGAGGAAUUUUGAGAGGCACUUUAGAGAUUCAAGCUUACAGAUUAGUUUUCAAAUUCCAUAUGCUUUUCCCUCUUCCCACAUAUCUAACUUCUGCCCUUCUUUACUUUGAAAAGAAGAGGGAAAAGGUAUAUAUUAAUUCAGUAUGAGUGCUGAAAAGCCAUUUGCCAAAAUGGUAUAAGUGAAACCUUAGCUUGCUGCCCAGAGCAGCAGAACAUAUCUCCCCUGUGCUUGGCAUAACAUUUGAUGCACUCUUUUGGUAUGCAAAAAAUUCCUUUAUAUUGAUUAUCAUGAUAGAAAUGGGACUUUUAUUUUUCAGAAUCAGCACAGCACACUUUUUUUCAAAUUUCAGAACUAGAGAAUAAAUGUUAUUAUCCGCUUUUAGCUAAACUGCAAACUGAUACUAAAUGACUGCACUUCCAUUAAGAUAGAGGAAAAUGGACUGUUAUCAGCCUAGGAAAUAACAGCUUGUCUGUGUUUCCCUACCUAUAGCAAAAUGAAAAUAAAUACAGUGAGUGGGAUAGAGAUUGUGUAAAUUUUCCUCAUUACAACACUUUCCCUCUCUGCAAUGCAGCCAGAACAGCUGGGACUAAUCAAGGGUCUGAAUGUACCAACAUGGUCAUCCUAUCAUAUAAAGACUUUACAAGUCUGUAGUAAGCUCAACAUAUUUUUUUUUCUUACUCGUAGAUAUUAAAACUGGUUGUAUUGUUAAAUGUGGUAAAAAGGCAUACCAUGUGCCAUGAUCAGCACCGCAUUUUCUUCCCAAUGUUGGUCUAGAGUAAAUAAAAAGGAAAAAAGUUUAAUUUUUUACUCAUGCUGGGGAAAAAAGGAAGGGAUGGGUGCUUUUUUAUUCCAAUGCAAAUUCAUAAUGCAUUAUGACAAACUUGCAUAAAUAUAUUGAAAAUCUUUAUGCAGUCUGUUUAUAUUUCUGUUC